GUCGCACUAUAAACUUUGUCGCCCAAGGGGUAGUGGUAGUUACAUGAUGACACCCCUAUAACUUUGUGAGAAAUCACAAGUAUUUGGACUCUGGGGGAAGUAUGGUCGCAAGGCUGAAACUUAAAGGAAUUGACGGAAGGGCACCACCAGGAGUGGAACCUGCGGCUUAAUUUGACUCAACACGGGGAAACUUACCAGGUCCGGACACAAUAAGGAUUGACAGAUUGAUAGCUCUUUCUUGAUUCUGUGGAAAGUGGUGCAUGGCCGUUUUUAGUUGGUGGAUUGAUUUGUCUGGUUAAUUCCGUUAACGAACGAGACCUAAACCUACUAACUAGUUAUUGGUAACUUGGACUCUAAUUUUUUAGAGACCGAAUAUUUAUCUAAACUUCUUAGAGGGACUCUUUAUACAUUAAAUGAAUGGAAGUUUUAGGCAACAACAGGU
rnacentral:rRNA from 2 species